rnacentral:rRNA from 1 species
UGAAUACGAGAUGCUACGGCGUCGAAGCAGUCUAUGUCAUACUUCCAAGAAAAGCUUGCACUGUCAUAAACAAAUAAUGCCUGUACCAUAACCGACACAGGUGGGUAGGUAGAGUAUACUAAGGGGCGCGAGAUAACUCUCUCUAAGGAACUCGGCAAAAUGACUCCGUAACUUCGGGAGAAGCAGUGCCUUAUUUAUAUAAGGUUGCAAUAACAAGAUCCAAGCAACUGUUUACCAAAAACACAGGUCUCCGCUAAGUCGUAAGACGAUGUAUGGGGGCUGACGCCUGCCCAGUGCCAGAAGGUUAAAGAAGUUGGUUAGCAUCCGCGAAGCUGAUAACUGAAGCCCUGGUGAACGGCGGCCGUAACAAUAACGGUCCUAAGGUAGCGAAAUUCCUUGUCGGGUAAGUUCCGACCCGCACGAAAGGCGUAAUGAUUUGGAUACUGUCUCGGAGAGGGGCUCGGUGAAAUAGACUUGUCUGUGAAGAUGCGGACUACCUGCACCUGGACAGAAAGACCCUAUGAAGCUUUACUGUAACUUGAAAUUGAAAUUGGACUUUAUUUGCGCAGUAUAGGUGGGAGGCGUUGAAAAUAAUCUUGCGGGAUUAUUGGAGCCAUCAGUGAGAUACCACUCUUGUAAUGUUAGAUUUCUAACUUUGUAUCAUUAUCUGGUCAAAGAACAGUUUCAGGCGGGCAGUUUGACUGGGGCGGUCGCCUCCCAAACGGUAACGGAGGCGCACAAAGGUUUCCUCUGAACGGGUAGAAAUCGUAUCUAGAGUGUAAAGGCAUAAGGAAGCUUGACUGUGAGACCUACAAGUCGAGCAGGGACGAAAGUCGGUCUUAGUGAUCUGACGGUGCUGAGUGGAAAGGCCGUCACUCAACGGAUAAAAGUUACUCUAGGAUAACAGGCUGAUCUCCCCCAAGAGUUCACAUCGACGGGGAGGUUUGGCACCUCGAUGUCGGCUCAUCGCAUCCUGGGGCGGUAGUACGUCCCAAGGGUUGGGCUGUUCGCCCAUGAAAGCGGUACGCGAGCUGGGUUCAGAACGUCGUGAGACAGUUCGGUCCAUAUCCGGUGUAGGCGUUAGAAUAUUGAGAGGAGCCUUCUCUAGUACGAGAGGACCGAGAAGGACAUACCUCUGGUGUACCAGUUAUCGUGCCAACGGUAAACGCUGGGUAGCUAUGUAUGGAGUGGAUAACCGCUGAAAGCAUCUAAGUGGGAAGCCCACCUCAAGAUAAGUAUUCUCAUCACGUAAGUGAAUAAGGUCACGGUAAGACUAACCGUUUGAUAGGCAUUAAGUGUAAAUCUAGUAAUAGGUGAGCUGAGAUGUACUAACAGACCGAAGAC